rnacentral:rRNA from 1 species
AUGAACGCUGGCGGCGUGCCUAAUACAUGCAAGUCGAGCGAACAGACGAGGAGCUUGCUCCUCUGACGUUAGCGGCGGACGGGUGAGUAACACGUGGAUAACCUACCUAUAAGACUGGGAUAACUUCGGGAAACCGGAGCUAAUACCGGAUAAUAUAUUGAACCGCAUGGUUCAAUAGUGAAAGACGGUUUUGCUGUCACUUAUAGAUGGAUCCGCGCCGCAUUAGCUAGUUGGUAAGGUAACGGCUUACCAAGGCAACGAUGCGUAGCCGACCUGAGAGGGUGAUAGGCCACACUGGAACUGAGACACGGUCCAGACUCCUACGGGAGGCAGCAGUAGGGAAUCUUCCGCAAUGGGCGAAAGCUUGACGGAGCAACGCCGCGUGAGUGAUGAAGGUCUUCGGAUCGUAAAACUCUGUUAUUAGGGAAGAACAAAUGUGUAAGUAACUAUGCACGUCUUGACGGUACCUAAUCAGAAGGCCACGGCUAACUACGUG